AGUGAACGCUGGCGGUAGGCCUAACACAUGCAAGUCGAACGGCAGCACAGUAAGAGCUUGCUCUUACGGGUGGCGAGUGGCGGACGGGUGGGGAAUACAUCGGAAUCUACUUUUUCGUGGGGGAUAACGUAGGGAAACUUACGCUAAUACCGCAUACGACCUACGGGUGAAAGCAGGGGAUCUUCGGACCUUGCGCGAUUGAAUGAGCCGAUGUCGGAUUAGCUAGUUGGCGGGGUAAAGGCCCACCAAGGCGACGAUCCGUAGCUGGUCUGAGAGGAUGAUCAGCCACACUGGAACUGAGACACGGUCCAGACUCCUACGGGAGGCAGCAGUGGGGAAUAUUGGACAAUGGGCGCAAGCCUGAUCCAGCCAUACCGCGGGGGUGAAGAAGGCCUUCGGGUUGUAAAGCCCAUUUGUUGGGAAAGAAAAGCAGCAGGUUAAUACCCCGCUGUUCGGACGGGACCCAAAGAAUAAGCACCGGCGAACUGCGU
rnacentral:rRNA from 1 species